ACCGAAAUAGCUCAGAUGGGAGAGCGUUAGACUAUAGAUCGAAAAGUCCUUGGUUCGAUCCCGGGUUUCAGCA
rnacentral:tRNA from 1 species